rnacentral:tRNA from 2 species
GGUGAGGUGGCCGAGUGGUUUAAGGCGGCGGUCUUGAAAACCGCUAUACCAGAAAUGGUAUCGUGAGUUCGAAUCUCACCCUCACCGCCA